GUGUUUAUGCAUUUGAAAUUUUGAUUUUCAAGGAGUAGUAUUUCUAC
rnacentral:tRNA from 1 species